UCAACAACUAUAGUGGGUGCCAACGGGAUCAUUAUCGGUUUCACAUUUGCUUUGUUUUUUUUUUUAAUGUUUAUUAUUAUUUUAAAACAAAGCAUUGUGAUGGUCCCUGUGGAUGCUAACACAAUGUAAUUUAUGCCCAGUUCUCUGCAUGUCAAAGUGAAGAAAUUCAACCAAGUGCGAGUAAAUUAUGGGAGUAAUUAUGACUCUAUUAAGGUAUCUCGAUGCCUCGUCAUCUAGUUAGUGAUGUGAAUGAAUGGAUUAACGAGAUUCCCACUAUCCCAAGCUACUAUCUAGAGAAACCACAACCAAGGUAAUGAUCUUGGAAAAAUUAGUGGGGAAAGAAGACCUUGUUGAGCUUGACUAUAGUCCGACUUUGUGAAAUGAAUUGACAGGUGUAGAAUAAGUGGGAUUCAUUUUCAGCGCAAGUGAAAUACCACUACUUUUAAUGUUAUUUUAAUUAGUUUGUGGGGUAGAGAUGAGGCAUUUCACAUAUGUUAAAAUAUAGCUCACAUUUCCUCAAAGUGUUACCAUUGACGGUAAUGGUCAAGAGCUCAUUAUUCAUGCACUUGAUGGCAAUGAGUUUAGGAAACAAGAACACAUUGAAAAACUUUCAAUGUUGGCACAUGGUAUAUGAUUGAUAUGCAUGAUUUAUUCCCCCCACUUGACC
rnacentral:ncRNA from 1 species